GCUGAGCCCUGCUCAUGCAGAGGUUGCGGUGAUACGGAGCGACGGUGUCGAUCAUGUCUUUUAUUCAGUGUUUAAUUGACAGAAAUGUAUUCUGCACUACCCUAAAUACAUUGGGGAUAUUAAUUAAUUAAUUAAAUGCCCUGAACACCCACACAGGUGUUUUCAGUUAAUGUGGAAGAUUAGACCAAAUCUGAUAGCUCCUCGACUCCUUGGUCCUCGCAAGUUGUUCUGUCCCUCCUCAGUGAAGGCUGUCUCAAAGCACUUAUUUCUGCCCCAAGGAGCGAGCAUCGAGGAGGGAUCUCCGAGGAGCUAUAGCCGAGGAUACAGAGAGCAGCCUUCCCGGAAGCUGUGCAGCUGAAGGACAUUGCUAAAUUCCUC